CCUGGCUCAGAGCGAACGCUGGCGGCAGGCCUAACACAUGCAAGUCGAACGGACCCUUCGGGGUUAGUGGCGGACGGGUGAGUAACACGUGGGAACGUGCCUUUAGGUUCGGAAUAGCUCCUGGAAACGGGUGGUAAUGCCGAAUGUGCCCUUCGGGGGAAAGAUUUAUCGCCUUUAGAGCGGCCCGCGUCUGAUUAGCUAGUUGGUGAGGUAACGGCUCACCAAGGCGACGAUCAGUAGCUGGUCUGAGAGGAUGACCAGCCACACUGGGACUGAGACACGGCCCAGACUCCUACGGGAGGCAGCAGUGGGGAAUCUUGCGCAAUGGGCGAAAGCCUGACGCAGCCAUGCCGCG
rnacentral:rRNA from 1 species